rnacentral:rRNA from 1 species
UACGUAGGGACCGAGCGUUUGUCCGGAAUCAUUGGGCGUAAAGAGCGUGUAGGCGGCUUUACAGGUCCGUUGUGAAAACUCGAGGCUCAACCUCGAGACGCCGGUGGAAACCGUAAGGCUAGAGUCCGGAAGAGGAGAGUGGAAUUCCUGGUGUAGCGGUGAAAUGCGCAGAUAUCAGGAGGAACACCGGUGGCGAAGGCGGGUCUCUGGGCCGAUACUGACGCUGAGGAGCGAAAGCGUGGGGAGCGAACAGG